rnacentral:ncRNA from 1 species
AGGAAAGCGAUGAUGGAUAGGGUGUACACCUUCAGUAAGGAGCUUGAAUGGACGUCUGCAGAGAGCCGGUGGCUGGUGUGAACCGGUGCGAUCAUGUUCCCGAAUUACGAUCCGGAGCUGGAAAAGCGAAAUGCGCGCACAGUAGCUUUUACCCGGCAUGUCCAGAUGCCGUUAUGACAAAUAAGCGAAAGAGGUUAUUCCAAAACUUCUUUAAUUAGGGUGGUACCGCGAGACAGCCUUCUCGUCCUUGAU